UACGGAGGGUGCGAGCGUUGUCCGGAUUUAUUGGGCGUAAAGAGCUCGUAGGCGGUUCGGUAAGUCGGGUGUGAAACCUCCAGGCUCAACCUGGAGAGGCCACCUGAUACUGCUGUGACUCGAGUCCGGUAGGGGAGCGUGGAAUUCCUGGUGUAGCGGUGAAAUGCGCAGAUAUCAGGAGGAACACCAGCGGCGAAGGCGGCGCUCUGGGCCGGAACUGACGCUGAGGAGCGAAAGCGUGGGUAGCAAACAGG
rnacentral:rRNA from 1 species